UUCCCCUUUAAGCAGCUGUCUGUCUGUCUGUCUGCACUGCUUCCUUUUAUACAUACAGGUGGGAGCUGCCAUACCAUUUUCCUCUGUGCGGGUAGAACUGACAUCCAUGAAAAACAACCACUACAUUUAUUUCCUUUUUUCAGAAUAAAAUCUCCUUAUUCCUGGAAUGUUUGCCCCAUAGAAACCCCAAACCCUUUUCUGUCUCUAUUCUCCUCAGAUCCAGACUGACUGUGAGCAGCAUUUAGAGCCAUUUAGUAUUCUGUCCCUAAUGCUCUUUCCUUUCACUUACAGACGCUGUACGUCGUCCUGGAGGACUUCAGGGAGGAAGACACCGACUUUAAGGCCCUUGCCUCCUAUUACGAACAUCACUACCGGGUUCCACUUCGGCAAGAACGUCGUCCUAGAGGACUUUAUUCUUCGCUAUUACUUCGACCCCAGGACGACGCACAGAGACAACAUUUACGAGUACUGGGUGUUGAUCGAUUUUCUGGAAGUACUCGAGAGGGAGUGUAUCGCCCUCUACAGUGAGGAGUUGCUGCCUCCUGAAGCAUCAUCGGAACACUGGAGAUGGGGGCAGCAUGUCGAGUAUCUGCGGCUGCAGAAUACUAUCCAAUGGCACCUUCACCAGCUUGCCAUGACGCUCUGGGAGAGGGAGCAGAAGCUGCAGGAGGCUGCUGGUGAGGAACAACAGGCAAGUCCUGCAGCUGAGGGAGAAAAGGAAGGAGCUCCUGCAGCAGAGGAGGAGAAGGAAGAGGGAGCUCCUGGAGAACAACAAGCUCCUGCAGCAGAGAAGGUGGAGGGAGAACAGGGAGCUCCUGGGGACGUACCACAUCCUACACAGGAGGAGGAGAAAGACGAGGGAGCUCUUGAAGAACAACAAGCUCCUGCAGCAGAGGAGGAGAAUGAAGACGGAGCUCCAGAAGAACAGCAAGCUCCUGCAGCGGAGCAGGAGAUAGAAGAGGGAGCCCCUGGGAACAGCAAGCUCCUGCUGCUGAGGAGAAGAAAGAGGGAGCUGAUGGAUCACAGCAAGCUCCUGCAGCACAAGAGGAGAAGGAAGAGGGAGCUCCAGGAGAACAGCAAGCUCCUGCAGCGGAGGAGGAGAAGGAAGAAAAGGGAGCUAAUGAAGAACAGCAAGCUCCUGCAGUGAAGGAGGAAAGAGAAGAAGGAGCUCCAGAAGAACAACAAGCUCCUGCUGCUGAGGAGGAGGAGAGAGAAGCUCCUGCUGCAGAGGAUGAUGAGAGAGAAGAGGGAGCCCCUGGACAAGAGCAAGCUCCUGCUGCUGCUGAGGAGGAGAGAGAAGAGGGAGCCCCUGAGGAACAACAGGCUCCUGCACCGGAGGAGGAGAAAGAAGAGGAAGUAGCUACAGAACAAGCUCCUGAGAUGGAAGAAACCAUCGAAGAUCCUCCGGUGGUAGAAAGGCCGACCCUCCGAAAACGGGUCAAGAAGGCCAUAAUGAAGAGGCUUCGCAGGGUUUGGCAUUCCACCCAAAGACUCACCUGCUGCCGCCGACCCUCCACCACGGCCUAAAUCCUUUCCUUCCUACCGACCUUUCCCGAGAGCGUAUGUCUGUGUGUGUCUGUCUGUUAUGUACAGGAGGGAGAGUAGGGGGUUGUGUAUAGGAGGGAGAGUAGG